rnacentral:rRNA from 1 species
GAGUUUGAUCGUGGCUCAGAUUGAACGCUGGCGGCAGGCCUAACACAUGCAAGUCGAGCGGAUGACGGGAGCUUGCUCCUUGAUUCAGCGGCGGACGGGUGAGUAAUGCCUGGGAAUCUGCCUGGUAGUGGGGGACAACGUUUCGAAAGGAACGCUAAUACCGCAUACGUCCUACGGGGGAAAGCAGGGGACCUUCGGGCCUUGCGCUAUCAGAUGAGCCUAGGUCGGAUUAGCUAGUUGGUGGGGUAAUGGCUCACCAAGGCGACGAUCCGUAACUGGUCUGAGAGGAUGAUCAGUCACACUGGAACUGAGACACGGUCCAGACUCCUACGGGAGGCAGCAGUGGGGAAUAUUGGACAAUGGGCGAAAGCCUGAUCCAGCCAUGCCGCGUGUGUGAAGAAGGUCUUCGGAUUGUAAAGCACUUUAAGUUGGGAGGAAGGGCAGUAAGUUAAUACCUUGCUGUUUGACGUUACCGACAGAAUAAGCACCGGCUAACUCUGUGCCAGCAGCCGCC